GAUGAACGCUGGCGGCGUGCCUAAUACAUGCAAGUCGAGCGAAUGAACGAGGAGCUUGCUUCUCUUAUGUUAGCGACGGAUGGGUGAGGAACACGUAGAUGACCUACCUAUAGGACUUGGGUCACUUCGUGAAACCGGAGCUAAUAUCGGUUCAUAGUUUGAACCGCAUGGUUCCUAGGUCCCAGAGCGUCUUGCUGUCACUUAUAGAUGGAUCCGCGCUGCAUUAGCUAGUUGGUAAGGUAACGGCUUACCAAGGCAACGAUGCAUAGCCGAUCUGAGAGGAUGAUCGGCCACACUGGAACUGAGACACGGUCCAGACUCCUACGGGAGGCAGCAGUAGGGAAUCUUGCGCAAUGGGCGAAAGCCUGACCGAGCAACGCCGCGUGAGUGAUGAAGGUCUUCGGAUCGUAAAACGCUGUUAUUAGGGAAGAACAGAUGUGUAAGUAUCUGUGCAUAUCUUGACGGUACCUACUCAGAAAGCAACGGCUAACUACGUG
rnacentral:rRNA from 1 species